rnacentral:lncRNA from 1 species
UUACUCCGUCCAUAAUUGUCCUCCAUCGGUGGCGGAGGAUAAUUACUCCGGCCAUAAGUGGACUCCAUGGGUGGUGGUCCACCUACAUGGGAAGUAUGAGAGACGUGGCUAACUUGAGGGGGAGGUGGUUCAUCAUAGGCUGAUGGUGGUCGACGGCCGGGAGGUGGGAAUUCAUCUUCACGGUCGUCGUCGCGACGGUGGUGGCCGUGGUGAUGGUGUCCAAAAGGAUAUUCCAUGAUAAGAUAAAUUAAUU